CCGACUGCUAUAGGGAUAGGACUAAGAUAUGCAAGUCGCACGCCUGUAACUACGUUCAGGAGUGGCGAACCGCUCAGUAACACGUUGACAACCUACCCUCAGAACGGGGACAAUUACGGGAAACUGUGACUAAUCCCCGAUAGACGGCGCUGCCUGGAAUGGUUCGUCGUCCAAAGCCACCUCCGCAUGUGGAGUGCGCGUCUGAGGAUGGGUCAGCGGCUGAUUAGGUAGUUGGUGGGGUAACUGCCCACCAAGCCGUCGAUCAGUACCGGCCGUGAAAGCGGGAACCGGGAGAUGGGCACUGAGACAAAGGCCCAGGCCCUACGGGGCGCAGCAAUCGCGAAACCUCUGCAAUCCGGGCAACCGGGACAGGGCUAUCCCUAGUGCCAUGCUAUCGCGUGGCUUUCGCCGACAGUAGGAAUGUCGGAGAAGAAGGGGAGGGCAAGGCUGGUGCCAGCCGCCGCGGUAAAACCAGCUCCUCAAGUGGUCGGGAUGAUUAUUGGGCCUAAAGCAUUCGUAGCCGGCCUCGCAAGUUCUUGGUCAAAUCCAACCGCUCAACGGUUGGGCCGCUGAGAAUACUACGAGGCUUGGGAGCGGGAGAGGCCGAGGGUACUCUUAGGGUAGGGGUGAAAUCCUGUGAUCCUAAGGGGACCACCAGUGGCGAAGGCGCUCGGCUGGAACGCGUCCGACGGUGAUGGAUGAAAGCCAGGGGAGCGAACCGGAUUAGAUACCCGGGUAGUCCUGGCCGUAAACGAUGCGGGCUAGGUGUCGGCCCGGCUACGAGCCGGCCCGGUGCCGAAGCGAAGGCGUUAAGCCCGCCGCCUGGGAAGUACGGUCGCAAGGCUGAAACUUAA
rnacentral:rRNA from 1 species